rnacentral:rRNA from 1 species
GAUGAACGCUGGCGGCGUGCUUAACACAUGCAAGUCGAACGGAACUACUCCAAUGAGAUUCUUCGGAAAGGUUUUGGUUUAGUUUAGUGGCGGACGGGUGAGUAACGCUUGGUUAACCUGCCCUAUACAGGGGUAUAACAGUUGGAAACGACUGUUAAUACCGCAUAAGCGCACAGGAGCGCAUGCUCCGGUGUGAAAAGCCCCGGUGGUAUGGGAUGGACCCGCGUCUGGUUAGCUGUUUGGCGGGGUAACGGCCCACCAAGGCGACGUACAGUAGCCGGGAUGGGAGGGUGACCGGCCACGUUGGGGCUGAGACACGGCCGACAAUCCUAGGGGAGGGAGCAGAGGGGAAUAUAGCACGAUGGAGGAAGACCCGAUGAAGCGACGCCGGGUGAGAGAAGAAGUAGCUCGGUAAGUAAAGUUCCAUCAGACGGGAAGAAAAUGACGGUAACUGACUAAGAAGCCCCGGCUAACUACGUG